UACGGGGGGGGCAAGCGUUGUUCGGAAUUACUGGGCGUAAAGGGUUCGUAGGUGGCCAACUAAGUCAGACGUGAAAUCCCUCAGCUUAACUGGGGAACUGCGUCUGAUACUGGUUGGCUUGAGUGCAGGAGAGGAAUGCGGAAUUCCAGGUGUAGCGGUGGAAUGCGUAGAGAUCCGGAAGAACACCGGUGGCGAAGGCGGUCUGCUGGGCAGUUGCUGACACUGAGGCGCGACAGCGUGGGGAGCAAACAGG
rnacentral:rRNA from 1 species